rnacentral:lncRNA from 1 species
AGGAAGGGCUAUCCAGUAAGAUAGCCCAUGGAAAUAAAUGAACGAGUUUCUGUUCAUGGUGUUGUCCAUUCCCAGGCCUCAUGUGAUGAAAUAUCCAGGGUUUAAUUUCUCUGGGAAGGAAAGAAGUUCAGAGUCCCAUACAGAAUACUCUUCAGCUGGAAGGAUGUCAGAAAGAUGGAUUUCCAAAGCCAACUGCCUCCUGUACCAUGUGGAUCUCUGCAAGUAGAGUCUCAUCUUUCAAUUUCAGCUGCAUAAGAAGAUGGAAGGGGAGGAGACAUGUCAUACCUGAUAUAUCUUUGUGGAAACCCCUCAUUUACAGGGCCACAGUUAAAGAAUAUAGUUCCUUGGCAUGAAACUGGCUCUUCCCAUAUCCCCUAUUUCAUGGUAGCUCCAUUAAAAGACCUCAGAACAUUGUGCUUACAUGGACACAUUCACUUUAUGAAAAUUCAAGUAGUAUAAACAUUUGCAAUUUGUGUAUUUUUUUGUAAAAUAACUUUAAUAAAGUUUACUUUU